GAGGCAUUUUGAAAACAAGAUGUUUCUAAACGAUUUACACAACAGACUACAACAAAAUGCAGUGCCCACUUUAUUCGCAGCGCUAGAAGGCACAUCUUCAGAUUCAACCAGAAAAAUAUGCCAAGAUUUAGAUGAAGCUUUUCCGCAUUCAUCCGAUGUGACCUCUGUUAUAACUUUUUCUCCAACGCUAGAAGACACAUCUUCGCAUUCAACGAAAGAAUUAUGUCAAGAUGAAACUUUACCACAAUCAUCCGAUGUCGCUUCUGUAGGUACUUUGUUUCCUGCACUAGAAAGCACAUCUUCGCAUUCAACCAAAGAAUUAUGCCAAG